GAUGAACGCUGGCGGCGUGCCUAAUACAUGCAAGUCGAACGCUUAAGGAGGAGCUUGCUCUUCUGGAUGAGUUGCGCACGUGUGUGUAACGCGUAGGUAACCUGCCUGGUAGCGGGUGAUAACUAUUGGAAACGAUAGCUAAUACCUCAUAAGAGUAGAUGUAGCAUGACAUUUACUUAAAAGGUGCAAUUGCAUUGCUACUAGAUGGUCCUGCGUUGUAUUAGCUAGUUGGUGGGGUAACGGCUUACCAAGGCGACGAUACAUAGCCGACCUGAGAUGGUGAACGGGCAAAAUGGGACUGAGACAAGGGCCAGACUCCUAAGGGGAGGAGCAGUAGGGAAACAUCGGCAAUGGAGGGAAGUCUGACCGAACAAAGGCGGGUGAGUGAAGAAGGUUUUCGGAUCGGAAAGGUAUGUUGAAAGAGAAGAACGGGUAGGAGGGUAGAAAGUUCACGCUGUGACGGUAUCUUAACAGAAAGGGACGGCUAACUACGUG
rnacentral:rRNA from 1 species